GAGAACAGCCAUACCACCCUGAACGCGCCCGAUCUCGUCUGAUCUCGGAAGCUAAGCAGGGUCGGGCCUGGUUAGUACUUGGAUGGGAGAAUGCAUUUCUAACCACGAGUCAUGUUAAUU
rnacentral:rRNA from 1 species